GGAAGUAAAAGUCGUAACAAAGUUUCCGUAGGUGAACCUGCGGAAGGAUCAUUCAUAAUAAGUGUUUUAUGGCACUUUUUUAAGUCCAUAUCCACCUUGUGUGCAAUGUCAGGGUUGAUUUUUCUCUCGAGAGGAUCAACCCCAAACAUCAACUAUAUCUCAACUCUUUGUCUGAAAAAUAUUAUGAAUAAAACAAUUCAAAAUACAACUUUCAACAACGGAUCUCUUGGCUCUC
rnacentral:misc_RNA from 1 species